GAUGGCGCUGCUGUGCUUCUCCAUAACUGUGUCAACUGUCAAGUGUCAUGUGUGAAUACGAAUAACGAGUUAAAUCUGUCAUCUGUGUAUGAUUUGUCCCUUAACCUCUUAUUUUCUGAAGGAUAUUGUUCCAAUAAAAUAAGGCGUGAGGCACAUUAAAUGGAUAUUUUUUUUGUGGAAUGGGUAUUCUUUUGAUCAGCUAUGCCAGCUGCCAAAUCUCAGUAGUAAUUAUUACUUUUGCGUUCCAUCAUGCAAAUCUAUUGCUCAUUGUGAGGUAUUCCUAAAUAACAUGAUUUGCUGAGCAUACGUCAAUAGACCCUCAAGUGUCGCACUAUAUCGAUACAGUUGUAUUAUAGCGCAGUGAGAUGGCGACUUGUAAGUGUCAGAUUCGAUUCUAAGUAAUGUCUAACUUCCGAUAUUUCGCGAUCAAAAGACAUGGUAUUUAGAAUAAAUUGACAUAUGGAACAAUUUUAUUUGUACUAGAGUUUAUUUACUUUCAAUAUACUAAUUUGACCACUACACUUUUGUAAAUUGUUUCCUACUUUAACUGUCCACGAUUGUUAGUUUACUGACAUUAAUUAAAAGUGCAAUUAUAUUUUGGGUCAAUUGAUUUUAUUCCACACACUAAUUGAACUCUGUCGUAGAUCAAACAUUAAAUCAUUGCGUCAUGAUUACCAUUUUAUUAAUCGCUGUUCUCUUUGAAAUGAACAUAGAACAUAUGAAGUCUUAUGACAGAAAUUUGUUAAGUACAAGUAAUGACAUGUUCCAUUCAUAAAAAAAAGUGUAAUAGAAAUUGCUCAAUGAAAUGAGUGAUUUGUUUGCCCAAAUAAACAUUUCGUGCACUAAUGUUUUAACCACUUAAC